rnacentral:rRNA from 1 species
AUGCAAUUGUUGCAAGGGACCGAUGUAUUUCACUGGAACCUACACGCGAGUGGUAAAUUCUUGGUGGAGUCCAUGUAUAGAGCGUUGAUCCAGUCAAAUGUGCCAGUUGACAAUAAUAAGAUGAUUUAGAAGAUGAAGAUACCUCUCAAGUAUGAAAUCUUUGCGUGGUAUCUUCGUCGAGGAGUCAUUCUUGCCAAAGAUAAUCUUGUUAAGAGGAAUUGGCAUGGAAGUGCGGAAAGUGUUUUUUGUCACCAUGUUGAGACCAUAGAACACUUACUCUUUUAGUGCAAAUUGGCUCGUUCUAUAUGGCUAGUCAUCCAAGUAGGUUCUCGCUUGUAUCCUCCUUAUAGUGUUGCUAAUAUUUUUGGCAAUUGGGUACACGGGACCAAUAACAUGUUUAGAUUUCUUCUCAGGGUGGGAGCGCUUGCCAUGAUUUGGUCGCUUUGCCUAUGUAAAAAUGAUAAGAUUUUUAUUGAUAGAAGUUCUUCACUUCAGCAGGUUAUCUCUGUGGUCCGUUUAUGGUCAUUUCUAUAA